GGAGGGGAGGGACUCGUUGCGGAAAUAGCCCUUUUCCGUAGAAAACACGUGAAUCCUGAGGACACCGGGUCAGGUUGAAGCGGGUCCUCGGGUCAUGCCAUUAUACGGCACCGUUCUGGAGCCACUAAAGCAGGCCCUAAACGGUGUCGUUUCAUGCCCUUUAUAAAAGCAAAACAAACCUUAAAAUGAACACUUAAGCAUUCUAAAAAAUCAAAAAAAAAAAAAAGAACCCUAAGCCCCUAUUUCACUUUCGGCCGCAUCAUAAGCACACCGCCCCCAACCACCAUUUCGCCACCGACCCUAUUUGAAUCCCCAUCCGAGCUUCGACUUCAACGAAGCAAACAAGGAUUCGAAGGCCACUAAAAGGUUCUACUGAUGCGGGGAGUGUCGUACGGAGGAGAAGCCAUUCAGUGACGUGGAGGCCUGCUUCCAGGCUAGCAAGUUGCAGCGCAAAGGGAAAGAAGCUCUUAGGGUUUCUGCUCACAAAUGUCUUGGGCCGUUUGGGCCUUAUAUUUCUUUUGGGUAGGUCUAGCUAGGGUUUGCUGAAUGGUUUUUAGGUUUUAGGCUGGCAUUUGGGUUAUUCGUUUGGGUUUGAUGUUGGGUUUAUUUUUGGUUUGGGCCUCAAGACUUGGGUUUGUAUCUAAAUAUAUCACAUAAAUAAUACUAAAUGCACUACAAUUAUUUAUCA